rnacentral:rRNA from 1 species
AGAGUUUGAUCAUGGCUCAGGACUAACGCUGGCGGCGUGCCUAACACAUGCAAGUCGAACGAGGUAGCAAUACCUAGUGGCAGACGGGUGAGUAACGCGUAGGUAAUGUGCCCCCCUGCGGGGGAUACCGUUCCGAAAGGGACGUUAAUACCGCAUAACAUGCUUCAGGGGCAUCUCUGAGGCAUCAAACUUCCGGGGUAGGGGGAGCAGCCUGCGUUCUAUCAGCUUGUUGGUGAGGUAACGGCUCACCAAGGCGACGACGGAUAACUGGUCUGAGAGGAUGACCAGUCACACUGGGACUGAGACACGGCCCAGACUCCUACGGGAGGCAGCAGUGAGGAAUAUUGCGCAAUGGGCGAAAGCCUGACGCAGCGACGCCGCGUGGAGGAUGAAGGCCCUCGGGUUGUAAACUCCUGUCAGUGGGGAAGAGAACGGACGGUACCCACUGAGGAAGCUUCGGCUAACUACGUGCCAGCAGCCGCGGUAAGACGUAGGGAGCAAGCGUUGUCCGGAAUUAUUGGGCGUAAAGCGCGUGUAGGCGGCCAAGCAAGUCGGGUGUGAAAGCCCUCAGCUUAACUGAGGAAGUGCGCCCGAAACUACAUGGCUUGAGUACCGGAGAGGGUGGCGGAAUUCCCGGUGUAGAGGUGAAAUUCGUAGAUAUCGGGAGGAACACCAGUGGCGAAGGCGGCCACCUGGACGG